UACGAGGGGGGCAAGCGUUGCUCGGAAUUAUUGGGCGUAAAGGGCGCGUAGGCGGUCUGAUAAGUCUGAUGUGAAAUCUCUGGGCUCAACCCAGAGUCUGCAUUAGAAACUGUCGGGCUUGAGUAUGGGAGAGGUGCGUGGAAUUUCCGGUGUAGCGGUGAAAUGCGUAGAUAUCGGAAGGAACACCUGUGGCGAAAGCGGCGCACUGGACCAAAACUGACGCUGAGGCGCGAAAGCUAGGGGAGCAAACAGG
rnacentral:rRNA from 1 species